UCGACUAAGGUUCGAUUCGAGCGAAAGCGAGAAAGCGUUGCCAACGGCAACGACCCGAAGGGCGAAGCGCGCAGCGCUGAGUAAUCCUUCCCCCGUCAUCC
rnacentral:sRNA from 1 species